rnacentral:lncRNA from 1 species
UGAGCUUUUGAGGUCACUUCCAAACUGGGCUGUUCUGUGAUUCUGUGAAAUUUGUAGACACCAGCACCAGCUCUGCCUGCAGUGAGGAAGCAUGUGUGCAUGGUCAUUGACUUCAAAACUAGCAUUUUUCUACUUUCUUUUAGGUAGAAGGUAACAGCAAACUUCCCUCCAGUUAAAUCAGAGUAAAAUGGGUCUGGAGAGAACUCAGAUACAGGGCUGAAAACAAAGACAUCCAAACCUUGAGCCAUUUAGAAGAGGAAGAAGCCAAAAUCUCUGCCAGAGGUUUGACUGCUGGGUUUACUCAUGGCUUCAGGUUGGUUUCACGGGGCUUGGCCUGUUGGGAGGAUUUUCUGAGAAACAUCUGAAUAGCUGAUGGCUGAAUAGCUUCAGCGCUGACCCCCUGACCUGAGGGAGGUUUGCUGCUCACAGUAUUCCUGGAAUGACACAGGGGCUCCGUCUGGAGUCAGGCCAGGACAUUAAAUGAAGCUGCUU